CUCCGAUCAACUUUCCCUCUCAGAAGUGAGGCGGUCGGGCGGGGUGGGGUUCUGCAGAGCAAUCUGGGAGGAUGCUGAGUUCAACAUCUGGUCAUGUGUUCUGGUAUAACGGUCACCUUUGAAUAAUGGUCUCUCCUCUUCUGUCUACCUAAUCUCUUGCAAGUGUCUUUCGUGGGCAGACACUAUCACAGGACCAUCCAGGGAAGGAGAUUCUGGGAAAGUGGCUCCUGGCUCUGUGGCCGUGUGAAGACCAUCGAUGAAAGUGUUGUUGACACCUGCUGACAGUAGCCUGUCAAGCACCCCCUGCUCCUUUAUUGUCUGUUCCCUUCCCAGUCCGUUGUGUUUGCCCAUCUCGGUCCUUCUCUUUCAUGCAUGUCCCAUGUGUUUUAAUGACAGACGUGGCCAAGUGAGCCUUCUCAUGUGUUUCCUUUGCAGACUUCCCAUCGGGCGCCUUUCCUGGAGGUGCGCUGGGGAGCAGUGGGAUUUCCGAGGGAAGACGCACUGUGUGAGGACGCCAUCGUGAAGAGGGAGCUCCGAAGUGCUUUCACCAGUAGGCGGAUCCUUUCCUGUGCUCAGCACAGCGAGCUGGGGAAUGUGCGUUUGGGGAGGAUCAAUUGGUUAAAGACUGAACUUAUUAUCAGAAUUUUCUCAGGAAAAAAUAAGACUCUUGUUUAUAUUUCUUAUUGUCUUAUCUAGAGAACUUCUGGAAAAUAUCGUGAUCACUGACUCACUCCAUUUGUAUUGUUUUCCCAGGAAAUAAAAAACAAAAGGAAAUCUCAAGUAACAAUGUUUUCUUUUGCAGGGUCAACAUCUUUGCUUAUUAUAGACAUAUUUGAUUACAGCUAUUGGUAACACAGCGAUUGGUAACGUGGUAAGCAGGAUGAUGGUGACUCUUCACUGUUACAGAUUGUUGAAUAUAAUAACUGCUACUGCUGUUAGUAACAAGUGUUCAAUGAGCACCUCCUAUGUAUGCAACAUGCUGCUAAAUGUGGGAGAUACAACCUUUAACUGUGGCUCCUGCCUGCGAAGAACAUGCAGUCCAGUUGGAGGGAUAAUACUGAUGGUCCUGGUGUGGGGUGAGACGUGAACGUGUGGUUCCGUCAAUGAGGGAUCAGCAGGGACUCAGAGCAUGAGGGGACUAAGG
rnacentral:lncRNA from 1 species